GNCGAGNGNGCACGCUGGCGGCAUACUUAACACAUGCANAGUCGCACGAACCUUUCGGGGUUAGUGGCGGACGGGUGAGUAACGCGUAGGGAUCUGUCCAGGCGUGGGGGAUAACUUUGGGAAACUGAAGCUAAUACCCCAUGACACCUGAGGGUCAAAGGCGCAAGUCGCCUGUGGAGGAACCUGCGUUCCAUUACCUAGUUGGUGGGGUAAAGGCCUACCAAGGCGAUGAUMGAUASCUGGUCUGAGAGGAUGAUCAGCCACUCUGGGACUGAGACACGGCCCAGACUCYUACGGGAGGCAGCAGUGGGGAAUMUUGGACAAUGGGCGCAAGCCUGAUCCAGCAAUGCCGCGUGUGUGAAGAAGGUUUUCGGAUUGUAAAGCACUUUCGGCGGGGACGAUGAUGACGGUACCCGCAGAAGAAGCCCCGGCUAACUUCGUGCCAGCAGCCGCGGUAAUACGAAGGGGGCAAGCGUUGCUCGGAAUGACUGGGCGUAAAGGGCGCGUAGGCGGUUGACACAGUCAGAUGUGAAAUUCCUGGGCUUAACCUGGGGGCUGCAUUUGAUACGUGGCGACUAGAGUGUGAGAGAGGGUUGUGGAAUUCCYGGUGUAGAGGUGAAAUUCGUAGAUAUUGGAAGAACACCGGUGGCGAAGGCAGCAACCUGGGCCCAUGACUGACGCGAGGCGCGAAAGCGUGGGGAGCAAACCGGAAUAGAUACCCUGGUAGUCCACGCUGUAAACGAUGUCAANGGAUGUUGGGUUACUCAUCAUUCAGUAUCGUAGUUACGCGAUAAACACACC
rnacentral:rRNA from 1 species